rnacentral:rRNA from 1 species
GUUGACCUCGGAUCAGGUAGGGAUACCCGCUGAACUUAAGCAUAUCAAUAAGCGGGAG